UCAAUUGCAAACUUCAUCAAAUAUCUAAAUUAAGAUUAAUGAAGCUCUUAUAGUGCCUUUAUUCAGCUCAGGGGCUGUUAGGAGUCCUAAAGUUAGGAGUGACACGCCCAUUAUUUUUAGGAGUUUCUCCUAAAUUCACCAGUUAGGAGCUACUUUUAGCCUUAAAAUUCUUUGUGAAUAUGGCCCCAGGUCAGUUCAGUACUUUAGUACUCCAGUGCAGUGCUUGUGUAAAGUACCUCACCUAUUGACAAAGCUACAACUCCAUAUAUUUGUACUUUAAUAGUUUCUUCUGAAUUUAGGCCACUGCUGGUGAGGUCGUAAAGAAAGGAGGGGAAAGGAAAGGCUCCCGGAAGAAGGAACAGAAGGAGUGUGUUUCAGAGACAGAAACAUCCCAGAAGCCUGUACAGAGACAGAAGAGCACCACUGAAGAAAAACCUGGGAUAAGGGUUUCUGAGGAACCAGUGCAGAGAUCUUCUCCAACAAUAAAAGAGAAAUUGCAAGAGUAACCCAUGCCUGUCU